AGAUGGCGACCGGCGCACGGGUGAGUAACACGUAUCCAACCUGCCGAUAACUCCGGAAUAGCCUUUCGAAAGAAAGAUUAAUACCCGAUGGCAUAGUUCUUCCGCAUGGUGGAACUAUUAAAGAAUUUCGGUCAUCGAUGGGGAUGCGUUCCAUUAGGUUGUUGGCGGGGUAACGGCCCACCAAGCCUUCGAUGGAUAGGGGUUCUGAGAGGAAGGUCCCCCACAUUGGAACUGAGACACGGUCCAAACUCCUACGGGAGGCAGCAUG
rnacentral:rRNA from 1 species